rnacentral:rRNA from 1 species
AGUGAACGCUGGCGGUAGGCCUAACACAUGCAAGUCGAACGGCAGCACAGUAAGAGCUUGCUCUUACGGGUGGCGAGUGGCGGACGGGUGAGGAAUACAUCGGAAUCUACUUUUUCGUGGGGGAUAACGUAGGGAAACUUACGCUAAUACCGCAUACGACCUACGGGUGAAAGCAGGGGAUCUUCGGACCUUGCGCGAUUGAAUGAGCCGAUGUCGGAUUAGCCAGUUGGCGGGGUAAAGGCCCACCAAGGCGACGAUCCGUAGCUGGUCUGAGAGGAUGAUCAGCCCCACUGGAACUGAGACACGGUCCAGACUCCUACGGGAGGCAGCAGUGGGGAAUAUUGGACAAUGGGCGCAAGCCUGAUCCAGCCAUACCGCGUGGGUGAAGAAGGCCUUCGGGUUGUAAAACCCUUUUGUUGGGAAAGAAAAGCAGCAGGUUAAUACCCCGCUGUUCUGACGGUACCCAAAGAAUAAGCACCGGCUAACUUCGUG